CCAUGCAGGCCCAGGGCUGGACAGUCAGGGCCCCAUCACGGGGCUUUGUUCCCUCAUUCAUGCAUUUAUUCAUGAAUUUGUGCAUUCAGCAGAUAUUGAUUGCUCAUUUAGUCUGUGCCAGGCACUGUCCCAUGGAAAAUGAUACAAUACCACUGCCCUUGAAAGGCUCAUAGUCCAGUGGCGGUCACAGGCAAAACCGAAACAGUUUAGAGAAGGGACAUCUAAGCCUGCUUGGUGGUGAGGGUAAGCUUCAAGAAGUUGGUGAGGUACAAGCUGGUCUACGAAGAAUGUCUAGGGGUCAUCCAAGCCUUCAGGCUUUGAGGGGAGGAUGUGUACCCCCUUAAAGAGGUGAGCAUUUGCAAAAAGAGCCAGGAGUUCAAGAAAGCACAGUGCAUUUAGAAGAUUAAAAGAAGUCCCACGUGAUUGAAAGUGUGGCAUGCUUGGGGAGCUGGGGACAUGAGGCUAGGGAGGGCAGCAGAGGCUGGAUUCCUGGAGGGUUCAUUCCAUCCAUCCAUUCAUCAGUCAAAUACUGAUUAGCUUGUAUUAGCUGCACUGCCCCAGGAAAUCAAACAAGCAGAGGACACUGUCCCCAAACUGCAGAAUGCCAUGAACUUAGUUAGGACUUUAUUCCAAAGGUCAUAGACAGGCUUUUGGUCAGAGGUACAUGGUCCAUGCUGUGCUUACAAAAGUUUCCUCUAGCAGUGUCUUAGUACAUUUUCUGUUACUUAUAGCAGAAUACCUGAAACUGGGUAAUUUAUAAAGAAAAGGAAUGUAUUUCAUACAUCUGUGGAGGCUGAGAAGUCCAAGGCCAAGGGGCUGCAUCUGGUGAGGGACUUCUUCC
rnacentral:lncRNA from 10 species